CCUACGGGAGGCAGCAGUAGGGAAUAUUGCUCAAUGGGCGAAACCCUGAAGCAGCAACGCCGCGUGGAGGAUGAAGGUUCUCCGAUUGGUAACUCUCUUUUUUAGAGGAGAUAAUGACGGUAUGUAACGAUUAAUCCAUGGCUACCUCUGUUCCAGCAGCCGCGGUAACAGGGAGGGUGCAAGCGUUACUCGGAAUCACUGGGCGUAAAGCGCGCGUAGGCGGGUUAGCAAGUCAGAUGUGAAAUCCUAUGGCUUAACCAUAGAACUGCAUUUGAAACUGGUAUUCUAGAGUAUGGGAGAGGUAGGUGGAAUUCUUGGUGUAGGGGUAAAAUGCGUAGAGAUCAAGAGGAAUACUCAUUGCGAAGGCGACCUGCUAGACCAUAACUGACGCUGAUGCGCGAAAGCGUGGGGAGCAAACAGGAUUAGAUACCCGAGUAGUC
rnacentral:rRNA from 1 species